rnacentral:lncRNA from 1 species
CAGAAGAUGCUCGCGGACGUUGAUUGCUUCACGGGAUGCUGGGACUCCGAAAGAUUGCUCGCGGACGUUGAUUGCGGAAGCUCUAAAACGGGGAAGAGGCAGACGCGGAAACGGAAGAUUUGCAAGGAAUUUGAUGCGGGAGAAUCACCAUGGAUGGCUGGAUGGAGGCUGAUUGUGAACUCCGGAGCAUCGUGGACGGUUGGGAUGGCUGAGACGUGGAUCCGGAAGCACGGGAGCCGAUCGCGGUUG